AAAGUGGAGCAAUCCAUGAGUACAGUGGCGUACGGGUGAGUAACACGUGGGUAAUCUACCUUUUAGUGAGGAAUAACCGAGGGAAACUUUGGCUAAUACCGCAUAAGCCUGAGAAGGGAAAGCAGAAAUGCGCUGAAAGAGGAGCCCGCGGCCGAUUAGCUAGUUGGUGGGGCAAGAGCCCACCAAGGCAGAGAUCGGUAGCCGGCCUGAGAGGGCACACGGCCACACUGGCACUGAAACACGGGCCAGACUCCUACGGGAGGCAGCAGUGGGGAAUCUUGCACAAUGGGGGAAACCCUGAUGCAGCGACGCCGCGUGAGCGAUGAAGCCCUUCGGGGUGUAAAGCUCUUUCGUCAGGGAAGAUAGUGACGGUACCUGGAGAAGCAGCUGCGGCUAACUACGUGCCAGCAGCCGCGGUAAUACGUAGGCAGCAAGCGUUGUUCGGAGUUACUGGGCGUAAAGGGUGUGUAGGCGGUUCCUUAAGUUUGCUGUGAAAUCUCCCGGCUUAACCGGGAGGGUGCGGUGAAUACUGAGGGACUAGAGUACGGGAGAGGAAAGUGGAAUUCCUGGUGUAGCGGUGAAAUGCGUAGAUAUCAGGAGGAACACCGGUGGUGUAGACGGCUUUCUGGACCGUAACUGACGCUGAGACACGAAAGCGUGGGUAGCAAACAGGAUUANAUACCCUGGUAGUCCACGCCCUAAACGAUGCAUAUUUGGUGUGGGCAGUUCAUUCUGUCCGUGCCGGANCUAACGCGUUAAAUAUGCCGCCUGGGGAGUACAGUCGCAAGGCUGAAACUC
rnacentral:rRNA from 1 species